GCCGGGCGCGGUGGCUCACGCCUGUAAUCCCAGCACUUUGGGAGGCCCAGGUAGGUGGAUCACCUGAGGUCAGGAGUUCCAGACCAGCCUGGCCUGGCCAACAUGGUGAAAUCCUGCCUCUA
rnacentral:SRP_RNA from 1 species